rnacentral:lncRNA from 1 species
GAUUUUAAAGGAAGAGUUUUGAAACAAAUCUCGAGGAAACAUUUAAGAGUUUGGAGAAAACACAGAUCUAAAAGAAUCGGAAGAAUCUCGAAGGUUAGGAUUUUAGAAGAACCACAAAUGGUGAGAAAGGAUCGAAAACUCAUCGAUCUAAGCAGGAGAAGUCAAGAUUAGGAUUGAGUUGCGAUGGCUAUCCUGAGUUAGGUCAAAGAUGACCGGAGACAGCCAUAGAACUGAAAUCAACCAAAGUCUGGGCUAUGCUUCUUCAAGGUCUGGACUUGAAACUAUGAUAACCGAGCAUGUAGGAGUCAUAGAAGGAAGAUACAUGCCUUUAAUGGCUUUGGAUGCCAUGGAUUUGGGAGAUUUUUAGGCGGUGGUUGAAGGUGUCGGCUACGGUUUGAGAGGAGUUUUGAGAGAGAAUUGGGAGAAGGAGGAG